GUGGAAUCAGCGGUGGUAGCCAACACUGGUAUGUGUGUGUGUGUAUAUAUAUAUAUAUAUAUAUAUAUAUAUAUAUAUAGUUCCGCAGAGUAGUUGUUGACAUUAUAGUUGCGCAGGAACUUUGUUGACUCUAGAGAACUUGGGCAAAUCGCACAUCCCCGUGGCGGCGACUUUGCAUGCGGAUGUCAUCCAUAUCAACUUUCUAUGCCAGUUUCUGCACCUACCAUGGUGACCACGGGUAACGGGGAAUCAGGGUUCCAUUCCGUACAGGGACCUUUAGAAAUGGCUACCACAUGCAAGGAAGGCAGCAGGCGCGCAAAUGACCCACUCCUGACGCGAGAAGGUAGUGAC